AUACGUAGGUGACAAGCGUUAUCCGGAUUUACUGGGUGUAAAGGGUGUGUAGGCGGUCUUGCAAGUCAGAAGUGAAAUUCCUGAGCUCAACUCGGGCGCUGCUUCUGAAACUGCAGGACUUGAGUGCUGGAGGGGAUAGCGGAAUUCCUAGUGGAGCGGUAAAAUGCGCAGAUAUUAGGAAGAACACCGGUGGCGAAGGCGGCUAUCUGGACAGUAACUGACGCUGAGGCGCGAAAGCGUGGGGAGCAAAAAGGAUGAGAUACCCUGGUAUUCCACGCCGUAAACGAUGAAUACUAGGUGUAGGGGGUAUCGACUCCCUCUGUGCCGCAGUUAACACAAUAAGUAUUCCGCCUGGGGAGUACGGCCGCAAGGUUGAAACUCAAAGGAAUUGACGGGG
rnacentral:rRNA from 1 species